rfam:Pteropus alecto contig42982, whole genome shotgun sequence.
GUCUAUAGCCAUGCCACCCUGAACAAGCCUGAUGGCUAAUCUCAGAAGCUAAGCAAGGUCGGGCCUGGUUAGUACUUGGAUGGGAGGUCACCUAGGAAGACCAGGUGCUGUAGGUA